CCUCCACUGAUCCAGAAGUUGUUGUGGUCCAUGAAUCUUCUUGUCCUACCGGCUGGACUCUGAUCAACAAUCGCUGCUUCCACUUUGUUGCCAGAACCAUGACUUGGGCUGGAGCUGAGAGACACUGUCUGUCCAUGG